ACCCGCUGAACUUAAGCAUAUCAAUAAGCGGAGGAAAAGAAACCAACAGGGAUUGCCCUAGUAACGGCGAGUGAAGCGGCAACAGCUCAAAUUUGAAAUCUGGCGUCUUUGGCGUCCGAGUUGUAAUUUGCAGAGGGCGCUUUGGCUUUGGCAGCGGUCCAAGUUCCUUGGAACAGGACGUCACAGAGGGUGAGAAUCCCGUACGUGGUCGCUGGCUAUUGCCGUGUAAAGCCCCUUCGACGAGUCGAGUUGUUUGGGAAUGCAGCUCUAAAUGGGAGGUACAUUUCUUCUAAAGCUAAAUAUUGGCCAGAGACCGAUAGCGCACAAGUAGAGUGAUCGAAAGAUGAAAAGCACUUUGGAAAGAGAGUCAAACAGCACGUGAAAUUGUUGAAAGGGAAGCGCUUGCAGCCAGACUUGCUUACAGUUGCUCAUCCGGGCUUUUGCCCGGUGCACUCUUCUGUAGGCAGGCCAGCAUCAGUUUGGGCGGUAGGAUAAAGGUCUCUGUCACGUACCUCUCUUCGGGGAGGCCUUAUAGGGGAGACGACAUACUACCAGCCUGGACUGAGGUCCGCGCAUCUGCUAGGAUGCUGGCGUAAUGGCUGU
rnacentral:rRNA from 1 species